rnacentral:rRNA from 1 species
CAGCAGCCGCGGUAAUACAGAGGGUGCGAGCGUUAAUCGGAUUUACUGGGCGUAAAGCGUGCGUAGGCGGCUAAUUGAGUCGGAUGUGAAAUCCCCGAGCUUAACUUGGGAAUUGCAUUAGAUACUGGUUAGCUAGAGUGUGGGAGAGGAUGGUAGAAUUCCAGGUGUAGCGGUGAAAUGCGUAGAGAUCUGGAGGAAUACCGAUGGCGAAGGCAGCCAUCUGGCCUAACACUGACGCUGAGGUACGAAAGCAUGGGGAGCAAACAGGAUUAGAUACCCCAGUAGUCCCUGUCUCUUAUAC